CGGCACACCUUUCAGCAGUGCGUCCUUCCACUCUUUCGCUGCGCAGCCCGGAAUUGCUCACGUAACUUCAAGCCCGUGCUAUCCUCGUGGUAACGGCAUGGCAGAGCGUGCAGUGCAGGAGCGCCCUGCUGGAGUGGAGAAACAUGCCAAGGGACGAGCUACUGAAGUCGCCCGUUCAAAGGUUGAUGGGUCGCCAAACAAGGACGCAGUUGCCGGUUCUUCCCCAGCACCUCGAACCGCAGACUGUGCCACCAGAAGCCAUUCGCAAUCGCCUCCAGGAAAUAAGAGAAAAGCAGCGGAUCUUCUACAACCGGACGGCCAACCGUCUACCCCACAGUGGGUCUCCAGUAUUAGUGUACGACACCAUACGCAGAACCUGGUCGGCAGCUGUGGUUGUAGGCCCUGCAGGCACACCUCGGUCGUACAACCUACUUACAGACAGCGGACAAGAGCUGCGGCGCACCAGGGAGCAUCUCAGUUCCAAAGAAAUGCAACCUACGUCGGACCCUGAAGCUACAGUUUCUGCGAAGUCAGUAUCCCAGCCUGACCAGAUGGCGGAGCUACAACCUGAAGUCAACCUUCGUAGAAGUAACCGUCUGCGUAGACCACCGCAACGUUACCCCCUGCCAGAGAGACCACAGCAUUAGGUCCCUGACAUGCGAAUUUGUAAAUUUUUUGCUCUCAUUUUUGUUUUCUCUUCGAAAAGAAGCAAGAAGUAAGUAUGCGCACUGUCAUGUUAACACGUGCCCUUACGGUACGAAGUGCGCGUGCUCAUAUUUGUAUCUGUCCCCAUAUAUGCAGCCCCUUGUCUGGUAAUAAACACACUUUGUUCCCUG